UACAGAGGAUGCAAGCGUUAUCCGGAAUGAUUGGGCGUAAAGGGCGCGUAGGCGGUGCGGUAAGUCACCUGUGAAAUCUCCUGGCUCAACUGGGAGCUUGCAGGCGAAACUGCCGUGCUGGAGUGUGGGAGAGGUGCGUGGAAUUCCUGGUGUAGCGGUGAAAUGCGUAGAUAUCAGGAGGAACACCUGUGGCGAAAGCGGCGCACUGGACCACAACUGACGCUGAGGCGCGAAAGCUAGGGGAGCAAACAGG
rnacentral:rRNA from 1 species